rnacentral:rRNA from 1 species
UACGGGGGGGGCAAGCGUUGUUCGGAAUUACUGGGCGUAAAGGGCGCGUAGGCGGCCUGCUAAGUCGGACGUGAAAUCCCUCGGCUCAACCGGGGAACUGCGUCCGAUACUGGCGAGGCUUGAAUCCGGGAGAGGGAUGCAGAAUUCCAGGUGUAGCGGUGAAAAUGCGUAGAUAUCUGGAGGAAUACCGGUGGCGAAGGCGGCAUCCUGGACCGGCAUUGACGCUGAGGAGCGAAAAGCUAGGGGGAGCAAACGGG